rnacentral:tRNA from 1 species
GGGCCGUUGGCAGAGCGAAUAUGCAGCCGCCUUUUAAACGGAUAGAUCUAGGUUUAACUCCUAGGCGGCCCACCA